UACGUAGGUCCCGAGCGUUGUCCGGAUUUAUUGGGCGUAAAGCGAGCGCAGGUGGUUUAUUAAGUCUGGUGUAAAAGGCAGUGGCUCAACCAUUGUAUGCAUUGGAAACUGGUAGACUUGAGUGCAGGAGAGGAGAGUGGAAUUCCAUGUGUAGCGGUGAAAUGCGUAGAUAUAUGGAGGGACACCGGUGGCGAAAGCGGCUCUCUGGCCUGUAACUGACACUGAGGCUCGAAAGCGUGGGAAGCAAACAGG
rnacentral:rRNA from 1 species